AAUCAACGCUGGCGGCGUGCCUAACACAUGCAAGUCGAACGCGAAAACCCCGCAAGGGGUUAGUAGAGUGGCAAACGGGUGAGUAACACGUGGGUGACCUGCCUUAGAGUGGGGGAUAACGUCCCGAAAGGGACGCUAAUACCGCAUAACAUCCUGCCUUUGAAGAGGUGGUGAUCAAAGCUGGGGACCGCAAGGCCUAGCGCUUAAAGAGGGGCCCGCGCCUGAUUAGCUAGUUGGUGGGGUAAGGCUCACCAAGGCAACGAUCAGUAUCCGGCCUGAGAGGGCGGACGGACACACUGGGACUGAGACACGGCCCAGACUCCUACGGGAGGCAGCAGUGGGGAAUUGUUCGCAAUGGGCGCAAGCCUGACGACGCAACGCCGCGUGGAGGAUGAAGACCU
rnacentral:rRNA from 1 species